CAUGCAUGGUAGGCUAGGGAUAUCAGAUGAGUUCAUUUGAAUCUUGCUCGGAAGAAGCUAGGUCAACAUGUCGUGUGAAUGACCAAACAUCUCCAUCAUCCUGAAGCCUGAAGAAAGAGCCAAACACAUCUUUACCACAGAUAAUCUAUAGAAAACCACAUGAGGUUUCUUGGUUUUAUAGAAAAGUUACUUGUAACGAGGUGGAAACAAAAUGUUGGCUGAAAUAGUCGAAGCUCCUCAACCAACCAAGACGUCAUGUACAACCAUGACAUGCUGAAUCACAUCCGGAAACAGUGAAAACUCAACUUGAUUCAACAAAAUCCCUCAGUUAUGACCUGCCAGAUUAUUGGAUCUCUCCUUAUUACCAUAUCAAGAGAUUAUGGUACCAGGCAGUUAAUGUAGCCUUUACUCCUUCCUCAAUCACCCCACAAGAACCACUGGAAACCAUAGAUUACCUGAAUGAACCAUUCCUCACUGCAAAAGGAUCCUACAUUUAAUAUUGAUACUCAGGUGAGUCCAAUAGAGGUGGACAAUUCUGCCCAAAACUGCACCAAUCAGUCCGGGACCAAUGCAGUGUCGGCUUCUAAAACUUCUGACGUACCGAUUGGUGGUUAAAUCAGGAAGGAAUGAGGAAUGAGGUCGGGCCAAUCACGUCGAUCCUCUUCCAGAAUCCUCUCACUAAGGUAUGAAUAUAUGGAACAUACGUGAGGGAUUGGCCACGACACCAACUUCCCCUGGGAACCCGUUAUCUCCAGCACCGAAUGAAAAGAAGACAGUCAAGCUAAAGCCUUAAUGAAUAAAUGCAUGGCGAACAUAGUCAAAUUCCAUGUGGCCGGGUUGCAUGUUAGUGCGUGUGCACGUGGGUGUGUGUGUUCUCAGGGUGAUGUAGACAUCAACACAAGACCAAAGCGAAGGGAUUCAUGUCACACCGUCACACUCACUCUCUGAGAGGGGCCUCUGCUUGCAUGUCUAGCCAGAGAAAACAUCUUCUCUGUGGGCAGUCCCGUCAUCCCCCCCCCCUCCCCCCCCCCCGGUGGAACAGUGAAGCUGUGGGGUUCACAGCACCGCCAGCAUGUGUAGAAAAGGUGUUUCAUUUCUAACACUGACACCAAGAUAAGUCUGUAAAUCCAAAGUGCAAAUAUUCUGCGAGAUGGGGGCAAUAUGCAAAAGAAAAUAAAUCCUCAACCGUAUUUAGAGAAUAUAAUUUCAUCCAUUUUGGGGGAAAAAGUCACAGGAUUUGGGUGUGAAUGAGUACAACACACACUUAGUUGUUGGAGGGUUCCAGGAAUAUAUUUAAAAAGUCUAUAUUCCUUCAGAGACAAGAAUGGCAGAAACCGAGCUCAAGCGUGAAAUUCAUUUUUCCCCACGCAGGAAUGGAAAAGCUGGCGAAAAUCUGAAACAGUGUCAUUUGCAGUGAAGCACCUGUUCCCAGCAACAAAACCACUGGAAACGGAGGGAAACGGGUUUAAAGGUCCUGGCGCUGCAUCCCUGGCUAUUGUCUAGGUCCCACCCACAAAGGCAAAAGGAAAAGAGAAGCUUUCGAUAUAGUUUGUAAAUAUGCUGCCAAACGUCACCUUCACACAAGAGUCUAAAGGACGAGCCGGGAGAGACCUAAACAAAAAAAUACGCUCUGAAGGCAUCGGAUCGCAUACGUAUCCGUGUAUUUUUAUUGUAUGGGCCAAAUAAAUCCUGUGAAAAGUUA